CAGGGCCUGCUCACCGGCGCUCUGCAGAACCGGCAGCGCCGGCUUCGCGGCCUCGACUAGCGCCCUGAGCACGACAAAGGACUGCUCGGCCACCUGGCCGCCGACGCCGAUCACCACAUCCACCGUGUCCACCGCCUACCCAGCAAGCAACCAAUCGCGCGAGCACUCAGCCGCAAUGCCACUGGAUAAUAAAAUCCGGAGCUCAAACAAGAGUUUACCCAUGGGCGUCGGCGCGCGUACCUUGGUGAACGACCCGGCGACUUCCUCCUUGGAGAACGCCGCGGCGUGCGCGGCCGGCGUCACGGCCAGCAAUGCAGCCGUGGGCGAGGCGGCCAUCGGCGGGGCAUUCCAUGGCGCCCGGCGGGGCGUGCCCUUGGUGGCCGCCG
rnacentral:lncRNA from 1 species